AACGUAGGAGACAAACGUUAUCCGGAGUUACUGGGCGUAAAGGGCGUGUAGGUGGUAGAGUAAGUCUGGCGUGAAAUUUUUCGGCUUAACCGGGAAAGGUCGUCGGAUACUGCUUAACUAGAGGACGGUAGAGGCUUGUGGAAUUCCGGGUGUAGUGGUGAAAUGCGUAGAGAUCCGGAGGAACACCAGUGGCGAAGGCGACACGCUGGGCCGUACCUGACACUGAUGCGCGACAGCAUGGGGAGCAAACAGG
rnacentral:rRNA from 1 species